UAACAGGCUAGUUCCGCCUAAGAGUUCAUAUCGACGGCGGAGUUCGGCACCUCGAUGUCGGCUCACCACAUCCUGGGGGUGGAGAAGCUCCCAAAGGUUUGGCUGUUCGCCAAUUAAAGUGGUACGCGAGCUGGGUUCAGACCGUUCAGGAACGCAAGAAGAACGGAGAAAGGAGCAUGGAGUAGGGAGAGUCGCAAUGCGAUUCCUCCUUUCUCCUCGCUCCAUGCUCCUUGCUCCUUGUAUUCUGAGCAGUCUGAACCCCGAGGAUUCAGUGACACAUACGAACCACCACUGACUGGAACUUGUCCACGGCGGUCUCCCGAAGGAAUUCGGGAUGACACAGACGACUUAUAUCGGUGAAGCCCGGAUCGCAGGGAUGCGACCGCGGUAACACCUAGGGAAUAUGCCCGGUCUUAUGAUCGAGCGUUGCCCGUAGAGACUACACGUCGUCUAUCCGACCUUCGAAAGAAGGGGAUAAUAAUAUAGUCCGUUGCCCGUAGCGAUACGGGGAAAUACAAGCGUGAGACAGGUUGGUCUCCUAUCUACUGCAGGCGUUGAUGCUUGAGGGGAAUUGACUCUAGUACGAGAGGACCGAGUUGAACGAACCUCUGGUCUACCUGCUGUCCCGCCAGGGGCAUCGCAGGGCAGCUAUGUUCGGAUCGGAUAAGCGCUGAAAGCAUAUAAGCGCGAAGCCGGCCCCAAGAUGAGGCAUCGUUAUAGACCCGUGAGAGAUGAUCACGUUGAUAGGCUUUAGGUGUACGCGCCGCAAGGCGUUGAGCCGUGAAGUACUAAUCCGUCGAUCUCGUCGGGAAC
rnacentral:rRNA from 1 species